AGGAAGGAGGACCUUGAGGGAGUGCCGUCACUAUUGAGUGCUUCAUUUCUUCUGUCACCUGUCCAUCCCCGUCCCUCCUUUUUCUGCCUUGUUUGCCUUGUUUGUCCUUUGACUACGCCUGAGAGUUGAUGUGAACACAAAUCUGCAGCAAGCUUCACCAGGUCACUUUUUUAAAAAAUCUGGGAAUUUUUUUUUUUUUCUUCUUUUCAAAUUUUGUUUACUUUUUAAGAAGUUCUGCAACUUUUUUUAGAUGUGGAUCUAAUGAAAAAAUAGCAGGUGAUUAGGAGCAGAGUGUGACCAUGAGGGCACACACACUGAUGGUACUUCUCUUCCUGCUCCUCAGCCCCGGCCUGGCAGAGGACACAGUGGCCGAGGACCUGAACGUCCAGCAGCUCUCUCAAAUGGUGGAGCUGCUCACAGCCGAAGAGUGUAAGAACUUUCUGGAUCUUCUGUCCCACCGGGAGGAGAGCAUUUUGCAAAGGAUUGAGCGCCUCUCGCCAAAAGCUGGUCAGCUGCCACUCCCAAACGGCUCCCUCCGCCGCCGCCGGAC
rnacentral:lncRNA from 1 species